GUCCAAAUUCCGUAUUCCCAUUUAUUUAUAAUUGUUAUCGUGUAACCGUAUGUCCUCUUUCCUUUAUUCUUUCCUUUCCCAUCACCCAACUCUCAUUCUUUUCCUUUAACCUGUAUGUGUUCACAUUUUGUGAUUCAAUAUUUCCAGUACUUUUAUGCCGUCUAAUCGUGCUUAAAUGUGGCUAUGUGUACUUUAAUUCUGGACUUUUUUCCUUUUCCCUUAGGAUUUCAUGGACUUCGUGGAGCUCCCUCAACACGGAAUAAGGUAAGGCUAGGGUUUUGAGGCUGGGAUUUUGGGGUUGGGACUUAAUUAGGGUUGUAGGACCUUAGGUUUAGGGCCACAAAAUGGGCUAGGGGAUAGGCCAAUUAAUGGGAAUCAGAGUGACAAAUUGGGACUGAUGUUAAAUUGGGGUAGAGCAGGGACUUAGGGUUAGCUUAGCAUAGCUUAACAUGGGUGGGAGGACCAGACAUAUGUCCAAGGAGGCGCUGGCUAAGUUAGGUGAGAACUAGGAGCUGGGACCCACCGAAGUGGAUCCCAACAGUGCACGGGCCAUCAUCAGGGACGUCCAGUCCUCCGUCGCCAUCUUCCAGGUGGCGCUGGCCGCGACGUUUCGUCCGCUUCUUGGGACUUCCUCAGGCUUAAGGCCACAGCAUGCAGGAUUUCAUGGACUUCGUGGAGCUCCCUCAACACGGAAUAAGGUGGCGCUGGCCGCGACGUUUCGUCCGCUUCUUGGGACUUCCUCAGGCUUAAGGCCACAGCAUGCAGGUAAGUAUAUCCCCUAUAUGGGUUACAGUGAGGAGGUAGGGUUUAGGACCUUCCCCCGUUCCAAGGAGGGUUUCCGGUGGCCC
rnacentral:lncRNA from 15 species